GUAUCUGUAGUUCAGCGGUUAGAGCACCGGAUUGUGGUUCCGGUUGUCGUGAGUUCGAAUCUCACCAGGUACC
rnacentral:tRNA from 1 species